AGAGAGAGAGUUCAAGAGUACGUGAAACUGCUCAGAGGCAAACGGGUGGGCCCUCGAAAUCCCGUCGGGGAGGGAUUCAGUCCCGAGCGGAGGACGCCCGCGCCGCUUCGGACCCGUAGCCAGGCCGAUCGGCGCGGGAGAGCCCGCCGCGCGAGACGCACUUCCCUCCCCGCAGAGGACGCCGCAACCGGUCGGGUAGCAGCGAGAGUCGACCAUGAGGGUCCGCGCCGGCAGGUGGCCGGGGAGACGGCUCCGGCCGCCCUCCCCGGUCGUUAGCCAGCGGACGCCGCGGUGCGACACCCGACCGAGGCCAACGUUCCCUGGUUCUGGGAACCCGCCGUGCCCUGCGAUCUUCGGCAGCGGGGCCCACGGCACGCGCGUCGCCGCGCAGCCGCGUCACUCCGAGAGUGGUCGGCGCGCGGCGGACGCGGCUGGCCGGGGCGUGCCCGCGGAUCACGGGCGCAGACGGUUGGCGGCGAGCAGGUCGGUCACCCACCCGACCCGUCUUGAAACACGGACCAAGGAGUCUAACAUGUGCGCGAGUCACGGGGUCUUGUUCAGGCCCAGGGGCGCAAUGAAAGUGACGAUUUUUGUUAAUCCGUCGAGACUCGGAGCCAGACUCCGACGCACCGACGGCCCGUCCGAUCGGCCACGCGCCGGCGGGCGGAGUCGGAGCGCACACGUUGGGACCCGAAAGAUGGUGAACUAUGCCCGGGCAGAACGAAGCCAGAGGAAACUCUGGUGGAGGUUCGCAGCGGUUCUGACGUGCAAAUCGAUCGUCAGACCCGGGUAUA
rnacentral:rRNA from 1 species